UACGGAGGGGGCUAGCGUUGUUCGGAAUUACUGGGCGUAAAGCGCACGUAGGCGGCUUUGUAAGUUAGAGGUGAAAGCCCGGGGCUUAACCCUGGAAUUGCCUUUAAGACUGCAUCGCUAGAAUCGUGGAGAGGUGAGUGGAAUUCCGAGUGUAGAGGUGAAAUUCGUAGAUAUUCGGAAGAACACCAGUGGCGAAGGCGACUCACUGGACACGUAUUGACGCUGAGGUGCGAAAGCGUGGGGAGCAAACAGGG
rnacentral:rRNA from 1 species